GGCGAGGUAGCUCAGUUGGUUAGAGCAUGCGGCUCAUACCCGCAGUGUCGGCGGUUCAAGUCCGCCCCUCGCUACUA
rnacentral:tRNA from 1 species